AUUGAACGCUGGCGGCAGGCUUAACACAUGCAAGUCGAGCGCGCGGCGGACGGGUGAGUAAUGUCUGGGACACUGCCUGAUGGAGGGGGAUAACUACUGGAAACGGUAGCUAAUACCGCAUACCAUCAGAUGUGCCCAGAUGGGAUUAGCUAGUCGGUGGGGUAAUGGCUCACCUAGGCGACGAUCCCUAGCUGGGCUGAGAGGAUGACCAGCCAAACGGGAACGGAGACACGGUCCAGACUCCUACGGGAGGCAGCAGUGGGGAAUAUUGCACAAGGGGCGCAAGCCUGAUGCAGCCAUGCCGCGUGUGUGAAGAAGGCUUUCGGGUUGUAAAGCACUGUCAGCGAGGAGGCGUUACUCGCAGAAGAAGCAACGGCUAACUCCGUGCCAGCAGCCGCGGUAAUUC
rnacentral:rRNA from 1 species